rnacentral:rRNA from 1 species
ACUCAAUAGAUACCCGGGUAGUCCACGCCCUAAACGAUGUCUACUAGUUGUCGGGUCUUAAUUGACUUGGUAAACGCAGCUAAACGCGUGAAGUAGACCGCCUGGGGAGUACGGUCGCAAGAUUAAAACUCAAAGGAAUUGACGGGGACCCGCACAAGCGGUGGAUGAUGUGGAUUAAUUCGAUGCAACGCGAAAAACCUUACCUACCCUUGACAUGGAAGGAAUCCCUGAGAGAUCGGGGAGUGCUCGAAAGAGAACCUUUACACAGGUGCUGCAUGGCUGUCGUCAGCUCGUGUCGUGAGAUGUUGGGUUAAGUCCCGCAACGAGCGCAACCCUUGUCAUUAGUUGCUACGAAAGGGCACUCUAAUGAGACUGCCGGUGACAAACCGGAGGAAGGUGGGGAUGACGUCAAGUCCUCAUGGCCCUUAUGGGUAGGGCUUCACACGUCAUACAAUGGUACAUACAGAGGGCCGCCAACCCGCGAGGGGGAGCUAAUCCCAGAAAGUGUAUCGUAGUCCGGAUUGUAGUCUGCAACUCG